rnacentral:tRNA from 1 species
GUUUUAAUAGUUUAUAAAAACAUUGGUCUUGUAAACCAAAGAUAAGGAAACUCCUUUUAAAACA